rnacentral:RNase_P_RNA from 1 species
CAAGUAAACCGGGUGACCGCCCUGAAUUUUUUCGGGGAGGAAAGUCCGAGCUCCACCGGGCAGGAUGCUGGCUAACGGCCAGGAGGGGUGACCCUACGGAGAGUGCCACAGAAACAUACCGCCCGCGAGGGCAAGGGUGAAAUGGCGAGGUAAGAGCUCACCAGCGACCGGGUGACCGGUCGGCUGGGUAAACCCCAUCCGGAGCAAGACCAAAUAGAGGGACAUAAGGACGCCCGGCCUGUCCCCGGGUUGGUCGCUUGAUUCUUCCGGUAACGGAAGAACUAGAUAGAUGGUCACCGUCCUUCAACUGAAGGAUACAGAACUCGGCUUACAGGUUUACUUGACCU